GUUUCUGUUGUGUUACCCUACUUUAAGGACCAUAUCUCCAUCCUCAACCAACCAGGGUAGAGCAUCCUGACGGCCCAACGCGCAAUGUGUUAUUGUAAUUUGAAGGUUUUGCCCAAGAAAUUAAUACCACUAUGAGAAAAAAUACCGCUUUCAUAUAUGCGUACCUAGCUUAACUCUUUAAGAUAAAGACAUGAAAUAUCCCAAGAUUUGAGGCAUUUCUGCAAAAUAUUCCUAAGAUCCCAAGAUGAAGUGUGAAAUCCCAAGAUCUUGGAAAAAAAUCCCAUGUAGUUACCUUGACCAGAACAUAAAAUAAAAGUUGUAAUUUUUUUUUUUCUGUCACUAUUGCUACAUCUUUCUUCAUUGGUUUGUGUUCUUGUUUUUCACACUUGUAGGCCAUAUGUUGGCGUUUUUAAGUUGAUUGGAUUCCAUUUUUCUCAUAUUACUAGGCUGUGUGUCUCCUCUUCCAUCUCUCUCUUUCUCUCUCUCUCUUGAGUUUGUUCGUAUGCCCUUCUAGUGUUUUUGUUCCAUACAUCUAUUCUAUUUUCUCCUUGUCUAUAAACUGUAUUCCAGAAACUACUUAAGUUGUCCGGUAUGUAUUCCGUAUUUAUUGAUGUUCCAUCAUAUUUAUAUAUUAUGGUUGUCUUGUUUCCUUUCACUUUUUUUCUUCUUUAAGUUUGUUGAUGUGCUCCCAUAGCUUUUUUUUUUUUUUUGUCAUGUUCUGGUCUCAUCUUAUAUCUUCAAUUACUUUUUUUUUUCUCAUGUUUCCACAUGGCUUCUUUCAUCAUGCUCUUCACUUUCAUUUUUUGUUCGUGAUAUAAAGUCUCAUAUUUCUUAUAUUCUUCAGUGUGAUUUGAAGAUUUUUUUUUUCUUUGUUGUAGUUUUGUCUUUUGCUUAUUUCCUUCUUGAUCUCCAUUGUCAUCCGUAUUGGUUCUCUUACCAUUUUCUUUUCUUGCUUAGUUCUUUUAAUUUUUCUUUUCAUAUGUUUUUUCUGAUGCACGUUUUAUAACAUUCUUCAAUGUCUUUGUUCUUAGCCCAUCGUCUAGUUCUGGCACAUAGUUCUUUAAAGUGUCCUCAGUUAUUUUCAUAUAUAUAAUUUCUUCCAAUCUAUUGUUAUAUUUACAUUUUUCUAUAUUCAUUCAUAUAAAUACACUUGGUAGAUUAUAGUUAGACAAGUCAUACAUUUCUUUAUGUUCAUCUUUAUUCAUAUGUAUGAAGCUUUUAUACAUUUUUUGGGCUCACCAUUACAAAGUCAGUUGCACUUUCAUGACAGCUUUCCAAAGUAAUUUCUCCAUUAUAGUUUUGGUCUCCAUUUAACAGAACCAAAUUCCUGUUUUUAAUCCAGUUCAACAGACUCUCACCAUUUGUAUUUACCUCUUGUGUCCUGAGAUAUCCAACAUGACCAUUAAAGUCACCCAGAAAAUAUAUGGUUCUUCUCCAAGUUCAUUUAAUAUAUUAUUUAUUUCAAUUUCCAUAAUUCUAUUCCUUGCUUGACCACUGGUAGACAUAUAUACAAGUAACAGCAUAAAACUGUACUUUUUCAAUUCACAUUUCAUUUGCAGUAUGUCUCUAUGGUCGGUGUUCACUUUUUUCUGUAACUAAGAAGUCAUUAUUCCUAUGCAUAAAACUUAAACUAUCUCCUUUCUUGUCUUCCUUACCUCUAGUCGAGUCUUUAUAUUUCAAAUCAUCCAAAAUGUUAAUUUUCAUAUACUUCUGUUGAGUCUAUAAGACACAAUAUUAUAUUCUCUAAUAUAAGCUUUUCUAUCUCACAUUGUUUCACUUGUGUAGUCCUUGUAGAUUGAGCAAACUUAUUUCUAGCUUGGCACUGUCUUUCUUGUUUACAAAAAAAAAUUUCCUAUGUCCCCUACUGAUAUACCAUCCUUCCUCACUGGCAUCCCUCUUUUCUUGCAGUUCCUUUCUGAGUUCCCUGUCUUGUUCUCUUUCUUUCUUCAUUAGAUCUGGGACUAUCCAUGCUCUCCUAAAUGAGUCAAUCCUUGAGUUUCUGACUGUUUUUGCUUUCUUUAUGAUUUCCCAUUUGAUUCUUUCAUCUUUUAGCUUGACUAGGAUUGGCCUUGGUUUUCUCCAAACCUGUGUUUGUCCUUCCUUGUCUUUUUCCUCAUUUUCCUCUGCUCUUCUAUAUUUACCAAUCCUGAAGGUUUCAUCUAUGUCUUCAUUUUUUUGCUUCACUUUGUAUUUCUUCAGAUAUCUGAACACAUAUGUCUAGUUCCCUCUCAACUUUCUCUUGUCUAUUUGGGUUUUCUGUUUCCUCUAUAUUACAUAUGAUUGUUUUUCUUUUUUCUCUCUUUCUCUUUUCUUUCUUCUAGUUCCUCAAAGACCUCCUCUAUUAUUUACUUCUUUAAAUGUACCUUUAGGUUCUCUAUCUUAGCUUCUAGAGACCUAACCUGGUCAGUGAGCUGUCUGUUGUCCUCUAUCACCUUACUGGCUUUUUUUAAGUGCCAGAUUCUCCUCUUCUUUAUCUUUGUUCUUUAUCAAGAACUGGAAGUUAGUAAAGCCUGUAACAUGGAGAGAUAGGAGAAGUGAGUCAGCAAUAGACUGUCAUAGUAAAUGAACAGGUAGAACAAUAGUGAUGUAGGAUAUGGAAAAAUUAAGGAAUAGAUGUUUCAAAUCACAUCUUAAUAGGCAUUACCAUUGGGAAGACCAGUGUGGAAAGAGAAGUGGGACUUUAAGAAUACAGACUGGUUGAAAUACUGUAGAGAAAUGGAAGAAAUUAUGCCAGGAGAGAGAGAGAGAGAGGAGGUAGGAAGGACACUAAGUGAAUGGGAAUGUGACAUAAAACAAAACAUAAGGUGCCAGGCAAAGAAGUCUGUGGGUGUAAAGAUUAAGGUAAGGAAAACCAGACUGAAAGGAUGGUGGGAUGAGGAGGUAGCUAAGGCAUUAGGAGACAGGAAAAGAGAAAAUAGGAAACAAGGGAACCUAGCUAGACUGGCAAAGAGAUCUGGAGGAAGAUAUGAAGUAGAGUGGGCACAGGCUUGGGAUAGGUAUAUAGAUGCAAAGAAAGCAGCUCAGGCAAUCUUUAGAGGUAAGAUUGAGAAGUGGGAGGGAAAGCAGGCAAGGAUCCUCAACAACAUGCCAUGGAGAGAAAGAGAAAAGGAAGCAUGGAGACAAAUAAGGAGAAACUUGGGUGGGCCAGCAACACUCCAGGGGGUGAAGCUGAAGGUGGAUGGCAGGAAGGCAAGCAGCAAGGAGGAAGUGAUGCCCAUAGUGGAGGAGUACUGGUGCAGGAUUAUCUGGCAGGAGGAGGAAGAGGAAACAGGAAAUAUGUCCAUUUACAGUAAUAAAUCUAGGGGGAUGGAAGAUGUUGAGAUAGAGGAGCAAGGCAGCUUUAGCAGUGAGAGCCAUCAAAACAGAGAAAGCAGGCAGGAUAGAUGGCAUCAUAGGUGAGUUCAUAAAGUAUGGUGGGGGAAGCAUUAAGACAGGCACUAACUGGGCUGUUCAAGAUUGGAACAGGAGUAGAAUUACACUCAUACCCAAGGGAGGAGGAAAGCCAAGGGAGGAUGUAGUUAAUUACAGACCUAUAGCAGUGGUAAACAUACUAGCCAAGGCAUUUGGUUGGGUGAUUAAUAAUAAAUUGAAGACUUGGAUAGAGGAGAAUAAGGUGCUUGGAGAGGAGCAGAGUGGUUUUAGGUAGGGCAGAGGUGGCUUAGAAAAUGUGCUCGUUAUGAAGGAAAUUAUUGAAAGAAAUAUAAAGCUAAGGAAGGAGCUGUAUUUGGUUUUCUUAGAUAUAGAGAAGGCCUAUGAUAGGGUAGACAGGAGCAAACUGCUGACAUUACCUGCACACAGAAGGGUGGACAGGAAAGUAGUGCAGGUAAUUAGGAGGUUGUAUGAGAAUAAUGAUGUGAAGUUCACGUUAGGAGACAUUAGUACAGGUUGGAUGAGAAACAAUAUUGGAGUACGGCAGGGGUGUGUGAUGUCCCCAGCCUUAUUUAAGGCUAUAAGGCUCCAUGUAAAUUUAAUAUUUACAUAGAGGAGUUAAUAACAAGGAUCAGGGUAUCAGGGAAGGGUGUUAAAGUUGGGGAUAGGAGAAUAGGAUGUCUAACCUAUGCCGGUGAUAUAGUGCUGAUGUCAGAAGGAAUAGGAGGUGAAAAUCAGAUGAAAAUAAAUGAAGGAAAAGCCAGGAAGAUGACAGGAAUGAUAAUUAAUGCAGGGAGUAAGAUAGUCAACAAGUAUGAGGUAAGUAGAAGUUUAUGGAAGGGAAUGGCAGUACCUUACUGCUUGUAUGGGUCUGAAAUUACCUACUACCAUGAGGGAGACUUAACAAGAUUAGAGAAGACCCAGAAUAUAGUAGAUAAGUUGGUUAGGUGUUCCACGCAGUACAGCAGUAGAAUCUGUCAGAGGAGAGAUGGGCUGGAGCACCUUCAGAGAGAGAAUAAUUAAAGGGAAGCUGUGCUUUUUGAAGAAGAUAGAAGGACUUCAUGAGGAUAGGUGAGUGAAACAGGUAGUGAGGGAAAACUCUAUUAGAUCUUCAUGAAGUAGAGAAAUGGAUAGGUGGAAAAGAAGAGAAAAUUUUGAUGAGGACUGGAGGAGGAUAAAACACAGAGAGGUGAGGAAAAGGAUAGAAAAAGGUGAUUUAGUUAGAUGGCAGACAAGGAUAGAAACAAAGUCUACAUUAAAGUGGUACAAGUGGAAGGAGAGACUGAGGUGCUCCAAUGGCAUGUAGGAGACUGGGGCAGCAAGUUGUUUGUGAAGGCAAGGACAGGGAUGCUGGAGGUGAAGGCUAGGAACAGGGUUGAGUUGGACCAGGGAUGUAACACAUGUGGAGGGGUGAGGGAGACUAUGGAACAUUUCCUAGUGGAGUGUGUCAGGUAUGAGGAAGAGAGAGACAGGCUGAUAGGCUCCAUAACUGUAAUUUUAAAAGAUGAGUAGAGUAGGAGAUUAGAGGAGGAGGACAGUGCAGUCCUCAUGGUGCUGGGCCUAUGUCAAGGGAAGAGAGAGAGAAAAAAAAGAGAGAUAGUAAGGGUGAUGAAAGAGUUCCUAGUACAGGGAUGGAGGAAACAUAACAUGUUACAUCUGUAGUUUUGUUCCCUGUGCUGUGCUUGCCACUCUCCUUCAACAGGUAGUGGACGGACCGGAGCAUAACACUGAAUGGAAGGAGGACCUAUCAAGAGAUAAAAAGCGGAAGAGGUCACAAAAAGAAGAAGAGGACAAGAGGAAAACCAUACUAUGGCAAGUUAAAGGCUUAGAAAAAACAAGUUCAGUGAUGAAGAGUGCUAUGUACUCAUCAGAGAAGUACAAGAGAGAGAAAGGCAGUCCUGCUGGGAGUGUUGAGUGCUCCUGUAAUCACGGAAAUCAAGUAGUUUUAGCACGCCGCGUGGACAACUGUGACAGCAGCAGUGAAUGCAGUGGGUGGUGAGGACAAGACACCAGCAGAAAUCAGCAGGAAGUAUGUGGACUUUAAGGGUGUGGUGAAGAACAAGAUUGCAAGGAUAUGACAACAUGAAUUGCAGACAGGGCCAAGUGAACUUCCACCUUCUGUUGAGCCUGUGCUGGAGGAAGAAGAUGUAGUGGUCCACAGCCCUGCCACUCUCUAUCUUGGGGCUUCCCGUGUGCCUUCCCCUUUAGUUCCCUCAGAGACACAAAUAGGGGAUGGUGACACAGUUGAGGAACCUCAGCAGGAACCUUCAUCACCACCAAGGCAACAGAGAGUUCAAAUGGAAUAGCAGAGAAUCCCAGCUCCUGAUAAUCAAACACAAUUCUUUCCUCUACAACAUCCAAAAUAUGUAACUCAAAAGUUUAAGUAUGCAAGAUGACAACAUUACAGGCCUAUAGUUUCCAGGGUCACUGAUAUUUCCUUUUACAUAAUUAAUAAUAGGGAUUACAUCACUUUUGAGUAGUUCUGAAGGAACUCAACAAUAUGUAUAGCAAGUAUUCAUAAAUACAAUAAAAUAUAUGCAAAAAUCCUGAGAGGCAUAUUGAAGUAGUUGAGAAUGAAUGCCAUCAUGCCCCACACCAGUGUUCAGUUUCUUAAAGUACUUUUUCAGUCUCUCCGGAGAAAUGUUGAGUUUGCCCCCUUUUGAGUUAGCCCAUGUCUCCGUCCGUUUAGAAAGUAGCUGCUGUUCUGCAUUAUCACCUGGAGUGUCAUCAUUUAACAACAAUUUGUUAGUAAAAACCUUCAUAAUCUCAGUAUCAUUAUUCUCCAAUUACAUCAAUUACAUCAAUUACAUCAAAAUGCC